GUAGGGAGCAAGCGUUGUUCGGAAUUAUUGGGCGUAAAGAGCGCGUAGGCGGCCAGGUAAGUCUGGUGUGAAAUCCCACAGCUCAACUGUGGAACUGCAUUGGAAACUGCUUGGCUAGAGUGCGGGAGAGGAGAGUGGAAUUCCCAGUGUAGAGGUGAAAUUCGUAGAUAUUGGGAGGAACACCAGUGGCGAAGGCGGCUCUCUGGACCGCAACUGACGCUGAGGCGCGAAAGCUAGGGGAGCGAACGGGAUUAGAUACCCCGGUAGUCCUAGCCGUAAACGAUGGGCACUAGGUGUAGGAGGUAUCGACCCCUUCUGUGCCGUAGCUAACGCAUUAAGUGCCCCCGCCUGGGAGUACGGUCGCAAGCUA
rnacentral:rRNA from 1 species